AGAGGGGUGGGAAGUGAUGGGACAGGGUGGGUUGUGAUGGCAGCACAGAGUACUCUGAAGAUUUCUUUAUAAGAUUUGUGCAAUUAGACUUGAACAAUUUGAGUUUUAAUGACUGGAAUUAAAAUAAGCUAUACCAUUUUUCUGAGUACACAAAUAUCUAUGAUCCACUUGCAGGUGUUUUUCUACUGUAAUUGAGGCCAAUUUGAGAAAAAUUUUUGUUUGCCAGGUGUCAUGCAGCAUUUGAGAUAAAAGAAAAAUGUUUUGAUAGUCUAGAGUGAGAGUCAGGAUAUGUUUAAGCCUGCAAAAUACAAAUAGGUAGAAAUGUGACAAUGUGUUUGUUUAAUUUGGGCAUGCGGAUCACUUGUGUUUGGAAUGUCAUAUUUUCCUUUCAUUUAUUCGUAAGCUACAGCCUACAUGUGAACCUAUGCACAUAAUUUGGAAAUACUGAGUAGAUCAAUCUUGUUUGAGUACCUCUGUUAAAACCCAGGAAUAAUGUAUUGAUGCAAUCCCACACUGUUUCAUGGGAGGGCUGUCAGCCCUGCAUGGUACACGUGGUGCCAUCUGUACUACAAAGAAAGUAUCAAGGCACUGAAAAAAGUGUUAUGUCGCUCAGUAGUAGUGUUGUAGGGAUAGGCACAACAUAACGAAUGCUAAAUUUGUAGUGCUGCUUUCUAGGCUCAAUGCAAUUGUUUCAGCAAGGUUGGGUUUCCCAAUUAGGAAAGAGGGAGGAAAGUAAUGUUUUUAAGUAAUUUCUGUAUUAAUGAGAAAAAUGAGGCUUAUCCAGUUUAAUAUGUUGGGUGGAAUAUAUUCAAGGGCUUGUUUAGUUGGCUUUUUUUCCCCCCAAAGAAGCACUUUGAGAUCUUUUGUAUCUUGGUGACAGCGGCUAGUGGAUUUCUGUCUGGAUUUUAGUGAACAUAGCACAAAAUUCAACACAGUUGGAAUUGGAAUUAUCACUGACAGUUUUGGUGCAAAUUUGAAAAGGAAGGCCAAAGUUUAAAGCAAGUGGCUCUGGAGAAUGUACUGUUCUCUUACUCAAUCACAAGUCACCCUUAGGGGGACUCUUUUCAAGUAAAGGUCACUGUUGCAGCCUGCAGUCACUCCUUUGAGCAAAUAAUGCAGUCUAUCUCCAAUAUUAAAGGCACACAUUUUAAAAAAAAGUCUUAAAAUAGUUUUCAGCAAAGACUUUAUUCAUCAUUAUUAUUAUUAUUAUUAUCAUCAUCAUUGUAACUGACUCCAGAAUUACACUUAGAUAUAUCCUUCUGUCUACACAAGAAAGGAAACUGUUCUUACAGACUCAAAUUACAGGUAAGAGUUGAGGGAUAGUUACCCUGAGCUUCUUGGCGUAUUUUAGAGGUGCCACGGGUCUGUUUCUCACAUCACACUUUUUGCCGAUAUGCAAGGCCCUUCAAAAUCCCCUUUGGCAAGAACAGACUUUUUACUCUGCAUUACAUAUUCUUCUGCAGAACAUCAAGCUGUACAUCCCAGCUCCAAGUCAGGAAAAAUGUUAAAUCCAAAGCUGCUGUGACCACUUCAAGAGAAAUGUUACAUAAUUUGGUGUGAAGCAAAAAAAUAAAAGGGAAAAUGCUGGCCAUAUUACAGGCCUCAUUCAGGGACACACAGUCCACAAUGUCUAUUCAGCUUGAAACACAGAAAGAAUAUUCUAAACUAGGAUCAGAAUCCAAUUCUUCAAGGAGGUGCCGUGAAGCUCAACUGCUUGAGGAAAACAGAUGUGAAUGUGUCGCUCAAAUUUUAAGAAAUGCAGCUUUUUGGAUGUGUUUAACUAUGUGUUUCAGGUAAUUGAAUUAGUCUUACGGCAUGGAAUUUUAGAGGAAUAGCUAAGUUUACUUAAUAUUCUAAAGAAAUGUAAAACCCGAGUUAGAGAGCUGUAUGUUGGCAGUAGCUCAGCUCAUAUCAAUGGCCUUGUAUCAGUGUAAAACAUGUGAGAAUGGAAUCAUGCUCUUGAUACGUACUCUGGGCUCAAACUGAAGAGUGAGAGGAGAGAAACACAUUUAUAUUACUGAGGGGUAAAAUAUUCUGUGAAAAUGUGGGGUAUUACUGUUAGGAGCUGCAGGUGGCUGUCAUCAUUCUGAAGAGACAGAUUUUGACAACACUAUACAAAAUAUGAGAGAUUGCAAGAAAUGUAGUUCCCAAAUUGUCAGGCACAAGAAAAGAGUAUUUGGAGGGUGGGUUUUUAUUGUUGUUUUUAGAGAUGAAUAAUUAUGGGUAAGUGAGUGAGUGAAAGGAAAUUACAGAGAUGUACUAAUUGAUAUAGCUAUCUACCUCUGAAUCCAAAAAGGCCAAUAAAUAAAGGGAAUUAACCCAAACACAUUGUAGAGCAUCUACACCAAAUAUAUUAGACCUACUGCUCAGAGCCAUAGGUUUUUGUUUUUCAUAAAUUCUGGCAAUGUUCUCAGUCCUCUCCUGCCAAUAAUGUCUGACUGCAAUGAAAUAUUUUGCCCCUCUAUUUCUCCCUUUCUUUCUCUCUUUUGCCUUUCCCUCUUCCUUCCUGUAUGCACACUUGAAUCUGUUAUUUCACUGUUGUUAGUCAGUGAAUCCUAGACCUUUUAUUGAAGUGAUAUAACUAAAAAUUUCUGGUGAGUGAUUUAUUGUUCUAUUCUUGCUGAACGUUGCUGACUGUUAUCACAGUAAAUGUAAGUAGUGUCACUGAAGUCAGCAGAUCUAUGCUGAAUUAAUCAGUAUGGAUUCUGUUCCUGAGAGUCAUAAUUGAUAAAGUCAUUUGUGUGCUUGAAACAAGUCAUGAAUGGAUGUGUCAGUAUAGGUUCCUUAAAACUGGCUUAACUGUACAUUUAAUUAAUUUUGGAGGGUGUCACCUUCACACAAAGGAACUCAGCUUCAAAAUAUAUUUGGUCUUGGUAAAGGUAUUUGUAAUGUGAUUAUUCAUAAACUUAGUUUAUCAGUAUUAGAUUUUUGUCUGCUCUUUAUAUUUUGUGUAUUAAAUACCAGGCUUUUAAAAAUAAGUAGGUUACCAUGCAGAUUGGAAGCCAACAAAUGGAUGUAGUUUCAAACACUACACAGUGCUGUACAUUCAAAAGUGAUGCAGGGUUAAAAAAAAUGGCCUGUUUUCAGUAAAAUGCUUAGAUAUGAGCAUAUUUCUAUUUUAUACCCAUUUUAAAUGUGUGAAAGAGAUUGAGAAAUAUUUAAUGAUGAAACUACUAAAACAUGAUAUUCAAAUAUACUGACAAGAAGCUGCUCUAAUAUCUUUUCUUCCUGUCUUUUAUAUGCCUCCUCUGGUUUCUUGUCUUUGUAUAUUUAAUACAAUACUUUCCUCCAAUUUGCACAGCCUUGCCUAAUCUUUUUUCUUAUAUAGUUCUUGCACUCAUUUUUCUCUCUCAAUCAUGUAUUUCCAUGUCUUUCUUCUCUUCUAUGAACUCAGUAUUUCUUCUCAUGCUUCUCUUAUUCCUGUGCUACUGGCUUCCUGUAAGCAUCUGUAUUAUUAGACUGUUUUCCAUAUUCUAAUUUUAUAAUCUAUUUUUAUUGCUCUUUGAAUUUGAUUCCCAAAGUAUUGUUUCAGCUAUUGGAAAUACGGAAAAAAAUUUCGAGGAUAUUGUUUAUUUAAACAGCAACUUUCAUAAGUUACCAAGAACAUAUGACAGUGAAGAACAGAUUCAUUCCAUGACUGUUCUUACAAGAUGGAAGUAUUUCUCGGCCUCCUUCUCCCCACUAUUCCUCAGAUAACUGUCCCAUUAGUGGGAUAUGCAUUGGAAUCCAAUGGAUUCCAAUUUACCAUUCCAAAAUACCCAAUUUUGGGUGGACUGCUAAAAUAUAGAUGGAUGACAUCUUCAAUGCAGACAUGUAUAUCUGGUCUCCUUAUUCCCCUGGUAUGGUCAACAAAUAGAAACAGGUGAUUCUAAUAAUGUUUUUCAUUGAAUCUUGCUAUGACUGCUAGAAGUAAGUUAUCUGAUUCCAUGCUGAUAGCUUUUCUUUUCCCUAUUCUAAUGUAAAUUUCUGAGGUUGUGUGAGAUAAACCUUAUUUCUGCUAUCUCUUAUAGUGGGUUGGUAAAGUUAAUUCUCCAUUUCACUUCCCAGUUUCUUUGGGUAUCCCCUUCCCUGAAUCUGGUUUUUUUUGUCUAAUUUGAAUGAAAGUCAGACCUUUUAUACAAUUUCUCUGCUAGAGACUUGCUAUUUGUAACAAGUCAUACUGAAGCUGUGCCUUUGAGCCCAUCAAGGAAGGUCUCUGAUACAAGAUCCAGUCCUUCCAGUGUGGGCAUGAGGACAUAUCUUCCCAAGCCCUAGUAAGCAAUCAUAAGAAUGCCCACGUAAAUCUCCAAGUCUUUUCCUUCUAGCAGCGUAGUUUUUCUGUCCCUGUUUCCAUCUUCACCUUCCACCCUGUAUCUUUUGGUUUCCAGUGGCCCUGCACCAAGCUGGACUAGGGCAUCACUGCAGCAGUGGGGUCACACUCCCAUGCCCUCCUGCAAGAUGCUGUCUGCAUAUCUGAGGGCAGGCUUGUUCUGGCUCCUCCUGCCCCCAGGAAGCAGGCGGGGGGCUGCAUGCCAAUUUUACACCUGGCAGACACCCAGGGGAGUGCUGAGGCUCAGGAAGGAUCUCUGUGUUGCUUCAGUGCUUGCAGCCUCCUCCUCCAGCAUGGCAAAUGGUACAUGGCUGAAAACCACCACCCCAAUCCUGUACCUAACUGCUGUCAGCUACAGGCUUGGCACCAUGUGGACAAGUCCAGUCUGUGCUCUCGGAUCCUCCAUGCCUGGAAACAAUCUGCCACUGCAGCCCUGCUUGUAAAUUACCAAAAAUCGAAAGUAUGGAUAACUGACUAUUGAUCACAUGCUUGGGAGGAGGAAUUCUUAUGGUUUAAAGUCCUCACAGCAUUACUGAAUUUAGGAGAUAUGUGGCACACUUAAAGUCAGGAAUUCACAUACCUGUUCAUAUGAAGGUUUCUGAUGCCUACCCUAAUAAUUGUUGUUGAAAGACUAGCAAGAGUCAAUGUCUUUUUUACUACUGCUCUGUUAAAGAUGAUAUUCUAGGUUCUCCUUCUCUCUGCUUGUCUUGAUUAAUGCAGUGCUCUUCUGCCUUUGUCUCCUUUCUUGAGUUAUUGUCUUCCAACAUGUCUUAACAAGUUUCUUAAAGCUAUGAACCCUUUGGGCCAGGGAUAUGUCUUGUUAGAACUUAAGUGGUGUAGAAGCAAUUUUUACCAUGCUAGAAUAAAAUUUAAAUAUAGAUAGGAGAUAUAAUAAGACUGCACUCACAUACGUGGCCGUAGUUGGAAAUGUCCACUUGAGAGCAGAACAAGGGGCACAGUCUGCAAAGGUCAGGCUCACUAACUAUAUAUCCUAUAAUUAGUAAUAAUCUCCCCACUUUAAUUGUAACUGAUAGAACUUCAUGCCAUAAAUUUUUUUAUUGUUGUUGUUUAAAAGGUUUGGUUUGUGAUACAAUAAUAAGUACUUGUCUAAAUUGCUUAUUUAUUAACUCUUUAUUAAUCUGAAUAUGCACAUUUUCUUCACUCCAAUCUUUAUUAUGCAAAAUGCCAUUAAGCAAUUAACUUUAAUAUAGUAACUGCUACUAAGUACUUAGAAAUAAGGAUGUAGGUGGCAUGUCUUGUGUGUUACCAACUGGCAUUAAUUAUGAAGUUGAACUUUUGCACUAAAGUCCUACUACCUCUGUAGUUUUAAUAUAGAAACCAUGUCUCUUAGGAAAACGUAUUUCUUAAAAUGCUUAUGUGGAUUUUUCUCCCUGUUGUAUUUUUGGGCAGAGGAUGUCAAUUAGGAAACUUGAAAACUGUAGUUGGUGCAGAGAGAAAUAGAGGCAAGUUUAAUAUAUAAGAAACCUUAACUGUUUCUAUAGGCUCAAAAUUAAAGUGAUUUUAAAGUUCAGUUAUUAAUCACAUGCAUUUUUAACCAAUAAAAUUGCUAAUUCUUCUUCUAGUAGGGGAACCAUCCACCAGAUCAGAGUCUCAUUUAGCCUGGCCUUGAACAAUUCCAGGUAUGGGGAAUCAAUCCACAUCUCUAGUAAACCAGUUCCAGUGCCUCACCACCCUCCGAGUAAAUAAUUUCUUCUUAACAUCUAAUCUGAGCCUGCCUUCUUUCAGUUUAGAAACAUUGUCCCUUGUCAUGUCACUAUCUGCCAUAUGAAAAGUCACUUUCCCUCCUUUUUGAGCCCCCUCAAGGUACUGGAAAGCUGUAAUAAAGCCUCUCCAAAGCCUUUUCUUCUCCAUGCUGAACAACUCCAACUCUCUGCCUUUUCUUAUAGGAAGGGUGUUCCAGUCCCAUCAUCAACUUAGUGUCUCUCCUAUGGAGUCAUUCCAACAGGUCGACGGCUUUCUUUUUCAUUUUACAGAAGGCAUUUUCCCCAUUUUUUAUCAUCACUUACUGUGUUUUAAGUUAAAACACUUGCUCACUUGCUUUUUAUUCCAGCUGGCUGGUAAUAAGGUGAACAUAAAUGUAAAACCUGAGAGUUUGGAGUAAUAAGAUGACUAUGAAACAUACACAAUUUUUAUGUUUCCUGACAAAUCAGAUGGAGAAAUAAGUGAGGAGGGAAAUGGGCAUGAUUGCCUGAAAUGAGAAUGGAAAUGAAUUACUUCAUAAGUAGUUCACCUAAGUAGGUGUGUCAGAAUUAUUUUUUUUUGCAACAGCAUUUUGCCGUUGACAACAUUGCACAUUCAGCCCAUGACAAAAUUCUAAUUAUUGUCUUGCACUAUUUGACUUGACAGUUUCUACUUGACUAAGCUGUAGCAGUGGACAAACAAAUUGUUGAUCAUUGGAUUAGUGGAGUUCCUGUAGUAAAGACAUAGAAAGCUAAACAGUACAGGUGUCUUUAGUCAAAAGUAAAAGUAAAGGAAAUUGUGCUAGUGUAUUUUAUAGAAACAGUUUAUAAUGCACCAAUGAACACACAAGCAUUUUUAAAGAAAUUGGUAUACUUACGUACAAUUAAAUUAUCUGGAAAGCACUGGAGUAGCAGUCUUGGCAGCUACUAAAUAUUUACCCAACUCUGAUCACAGCAAUGUUUGACUUCUUAAGUAUUCCCUGCAGCUGCAGAUGCCCUGUCUUACUGCAACGUUCUCUUCAGCAUUUUUGAAUGCAGUGCCAAAGAUACCUGUAUAGGGCCUAUGUACAGGAAAAAGAGGACUUUUCAGAAGACUCUGCACCAGGAUUAUAGCUAUUGGCACCUCUUUCCCUUCCCACUCAAAUCAACCAGGCCAUGCUCCAGGACAAUGCCCAGGUUCUUGUUCCAGACUUUUCCACCCUGAAUGUUUCCAAUGUUUAUGUUUCUAUAGCAUGGAGAAAAAAAAAAUGAAAUAUUCUUGACUUUGUCUCAGCUUUAUGUGUCUUCCAUGUAAGAUAACUCUAAGGAAUGGGAAUUGACAAGAAUUGUCUUUGGACUGAACAGUAUCACAGUUAGUCUGCAGUGUUCUGUAUUGACUAGUCAGUUGGUGGAUGUGGAUUGCAUUCUGCCUCAGGAACACAUCCCCAGUAUGCACUUUUACAGAUUUGUCUUGGACCAAUGUCAAAGUGAACUUUUGAGAGACCCAACCCUAUAAUGGGUGAGGAGCCGAGCUACAGGACGCACUGGGAGUUAAAAACCACAAAUGCAGGAAAAGAACUUUAAACUCAGGAGAGGGACUUUUAUUGCUUGCUUAUGUUUUUUUCCUUAAAAAAAGUAGGCAUCCCUGUGAAGUUUUAUUUUUAUAUACAAGUCUGAAUGGACAAAUCAUGUCUUGGUUUGCAGCAUUACCUUGAUGAGCAGAUUAGUUAUGACAUCCUUUGAUUGAUUUUCUGUAAGCUUAGGGCCAUACACCCAUUUUACAAACUAAUUCAAGGGAUUUCUAGUGAGAAACCUGUCUCUUGGUUAUAUUGACUUUUAUCCAAUCUUCAUCUUCCCUGCUGACUUAGAAGUUAGUGCUCACUCCAGGACUGAAGCUGGAUGAGUUGGUGGAGUCCUCUGCAUGAUGCCUUGAGCAGCUGCUGUGAAGAACCACAGGGCACUGAGAAGCUGAACACUAGAUCCCAAUAGCCUUUUGUCAGUUCUCUGGCCAUGAGCUUCAUGAAUCACAGUGAAGGUAUUUUACUGUACUAUAUUUCAGAUCCCUUGGAAAAAAAAAGAAAAUGUACACAUUACUGUCUCCUAAACUUACCAUGAAGGAAUGCCUUCAUUUAAAUCUUUGCUUCCUACAUACCUAGACCCAUAUAUGGAUACACACUUCAUUCACAUUAUCAGUCCAGAAAAGGGCUUUCUGCCUCAUCAUUCUCUUUCUGCCAUUCAUUCCUCUGCAUGGCCUGUGAUGUGUCUCUGGAUGUCUAUAAAUUGAGUGGCUUUUUAGUCUUUAUUCAAAAGAGACAGUGAUGGAAGUAACCACAAGACAUUUUGGUGUGUCUUAGUCAUGGGAGGGUGGAGGCUGAACUACAGUGUUCAAGAGCUCAGGUGAGAUGAAUCUAUAGUCUGUAGAUAAAGCAUAUCUUCAGUUUCAGACAUCACCAGCAACAGGCCUUUGGAAGACAGUGGGAAGGGAAAGGCAAAACUCACCAGCCCAGGUUUCUUCCUCUGUUUCCAGAUGGUGUUGAAGAUGCUGGUACAAAAUUAAACAGUGUCUCCCAUGCAGUGAUACAGGGUAGAUCUCUCAGAUAUAUCCCAGAGCAGGUUUUCACAGGUGUGCUUUGAGAGCUUAUGGGAGAGGUAUGUCUGAAGACUCCUUGUUUUCUGAGCGGUGGAUGUGCUUGGAAUAUGCUGGCAUGACCAUGGAGACCUGAACACAACACACCUUAUGGGGCUGAUUUUUUGGAAGUGGUUAAAGCAUACUAUCACAUAGUCACAGACAGCCCAGGUAAUGUACUGUUCUGUAUGAAACCCUCUAAUGAGCUAUAAAACACAAUGGACAAGGUUGCUUGAGUAAUGAAUGUAUGUACCCUCUUUCUCUGAGAGGGCUGCCAUUCAGUUUGAAUUAAGUGUUCUUUUCCCUUAUUUUUUCAUGCCAGUAUUUGGCACAUCUCUACCAAUGCCAAUGUACAUGUCACUUUGUUCUCUGUUUUAUUUUGUGUAAUGAUCAUCUCUUUCACAGGAAUGAGGAAUGGAGAGUGAAAGCAAUUCACUGAAGUUCAAUUUAAUGAGGGAGAAAAUGUCCAGAUACUGUGAAUGAAGCAAAAUGAAGCAAACUUGCAUUAUUUUAUCCCCCACCCCCUUUUCAUUUGAACUGUUUAUUUUUAAACAGUUUUUCCUUUUUUUCCAUUUUACUCUUCUCUCAUGUAAUGUAUUUAUGAUACAAAAUUGAAUAAACAUAACAUUUUCAACUAUAGAUUUGAAGAGUUUCAAAAGAUGCCCCAGUAACUACAUUCCAUAGACACAAAUAUGUUAAAUAACUUUGCCAAGUUAACUGAGGAGGGAACAAUAAUAAAAAUGAGAACAGAGAGCCUUUUUCUUACUCUAUUCUUCAGUGACAACAUGUGGUGCAGAACUAUUACAAUGGAUGCAGAAAAGCUAGGAUGUGUUCAUAGAUGACAUUCAGGAAAAUUAAAAUUAUCUGUAAUAGAAAGGGAAUGAAUACCCCGAACUCUUUAUACCUUUAUGCACAUUAAAUUUUAUUCAAUGGGAGUAGUUUCUCACAACUCAAUAAAGUUAUUCAUUUGGUACAUAAAAUUAAGCAUAGAUUUAAGUGCCUUCAGGAUGAAAGCAUUGUGAAUAAUAUUAACAUCAGAGUUGUUUUCUGUUUUCUUUCUGAGCCCAUACUCUUGACUUUUGAUUGUAAUUUUUUGCUUUGUUUUUUUUGGGGUUUUUUUGUUUGCUUGUUUUGUUUUGUUAUUGCCUGCCCUUCAUAAGGAACUAUUAUAAGGGAAUAGUUGCUCCUUGUCUUUUGUAAUAGGUGAUUGUAAUUUGAUCUGAAACAGAUGAAAACAGUGACUGAGAUGAAAAAUAAAAUGCACUAUGAAAAUAUGGGAAAGUUACAGCAUACAGUUAAAACAAGUAAGACAUCAAAGCCUUUGCCACUUUCUACAUAAAGGAUAAGUUUUAGUUUAAGUACACAAACACUUAGCUUUUUUUACAGAGCUCUCACUCAUGUCUUUUUGCUAAUUUGUCUAUUUGUACUACCUUAAUAUAUUUUGCAAGCCAUUUUUGAAGGUAAAAUUUGAUAUAACUAAAUUUACCUCUGAAAAGAUUAAAUGUAAGUGGUUUAAAAUGGGUAGCUUUAAGGGAACACCAUCUGGUACAUGGUUAUUAAAAAAGCCCAUGAAAAUAUUGCAUGACAAAAUUAAUACACAGCUAAAUUAACAUAAAAAACCUAAAUUAACAAGCCAGUUCAAAAUGCUGAUUAUGAUUAAUUUUGUAUAUAAGUUUGCACAAUUUUGGAUCUCUGUUAUGACCCUUGGUAAGAUGUAGAAGGGAUUUUCGUAGGACACACAAUAUAGCAGUAUUUGAGGGGAUUAGUAGUACUUGAGGGGAUAAGGACCAGUAGAAGUCACUCAGCAUUUUUUUUUCUAUCAGGUUACCCUAUUAAUAAACAUCUAUAAUAAUGAAAGAAUUGAAAAAUUGGAUUUUUGAGGAGGUUAAGUGGGAUUUUUAUAAGCUCACUUUUUUAUGAGAGACUUAGAAGUACACUGAAAGUUAUGACAGAUGUGAAGUUGCUAUACAUUAAUGUUUAAUCUAAAAUACUGAUCAAAAUUUCUUGGACAUUGCAUUUUUGUUGACAUUUCAUAUUAUUCUUGCCUUGGUCACUGAAAUCCCAUUGCUCUAUAUCUGUGGUGAAUUAUGAACAGUCUCUGUAGUAUUAGGCUGAUUAACUUAAUAGGAAGCUAUGUGCAAAAUAAGCAAAAAUAAAUAAAUAAGUAAACAAAGUGCACAAUCCAUCCCUGUCAGCAUUCCCAAGACAUUAAGUGAAGGACAGUAUUGCAAUUUCUUAGUGUCAGCGGUUCUGGUUUUGACAAGGUGCAAACUUUGGUUUGACAGAGAUAGUCUUCAAAGCGAUACAACAGUUAGCAAAUACCCUUAUAUGUUUUGAUUUCUAGGAAAUUGAAGGUCAGUUGUUACAAACUGCUUAGGGAGACAAGCUGACAGGAAGAUAAAGGGAGAACACUCCGGGAGCCGAAAGAUGGAGGCCUUCAUCCGUUCUGAGAGCAGCGUGUUCUGGUAGGGAGGCUAAAGGUGUGUGCAAUGAGACAGGGAGCUGCUAAGGCAAUGCUCAUGAAACUAACACAACUUUUUCUUCUUGCAUGCCAACUUAACCCACUGUUGUAGCACCAGCACUGUUCAGUGGUUCAGCAUUUGGAAAAAGUUCAGUGGUUCAGCAUUUGCAAAAGUAUUGAUGUGAUGCUGUAUAGGUAAAAUCCUAGUAAAUGGCUGAUAAUAGUUUUCAAGGUAAAUUUUAAUUAACUGGUAAAUAUUUGAUGUGUUCAGAAAACAUGACAAUGAAACCUAGCUAAUAGAUGAUGCUAGUAAUAUAGAGAGUGGGAACCACCCUGGAGGACUCAGGGGAGAGUCUCUCAAGGAGACUCAGGGGAGACCUUAUUACUCUCUGCAACUCCCUGAAAGGUGGCUGUGUCAGGUGAGAGUUGGUCUCUUUCACCAGGCAGCAGCUGGCAGAACAGGAGGACAAAGCUUUAAGCUGAGCCAAGGGAAAUAUUGGUUGGAUAUUAGGAAAAUAAUUUUUACAGAAAGAAUGAUAAAGUGUUGGAAUGUUUUGCCUGGAGAGGUGGUGGAGUCACCAUCCUUGGAUGUAUUUUACAAAAGACUGGAUGUUGCACUCAGUGCCAUGAUCUAGUUGAGGCGUUUAGGGCAUGGGUUGGACUCAAUGAUCUUGAAUGUCUCUUCCAACCUAGUGGUUCUUUGUGUGACACUGUGACUCCAAGCAAAUUUGGAUAUCUGGUGUCGCCUACCCGCAUUCCUAUUUUUCACUGUGUCUCCCUUACAUACAAGUCCUAGCACAGGAUGUUUCUCUUCCUUGAGCUCUUCCUUUUUAUGGCCAUAGGGGCACCAUAUCACCAUAGGGGCAGCCAAUGGUGAACUACUUUGGAUCUAUAUUUUAGAUGGCUGAAAUGAAGUGAGAUAAAUCAUGCCUGAAGUUGAUAAGUUCUCUUUCCACAGGCUUCUCUCCUCUCCACUCUGUUUUUCUAUCUAUCCAUAUAUAAUUUCUAUAUGGACCUAAAACAUAGGCUUCACAGGUGUGUGUGUUUGUGUCUGUGUGUGUGUUUAUGAACACAUAUACAAGGACAUUUGUCAGAUUUUUUAAGGAUGUGAUUCGGCCUUUAAAAAACAACUCUUACUUGUAUGUGCUAUAUGUCAUCUGCGUAUAUGAGAAUUUGAAAAUUAAAGAAUCGCCUCUGUCCUUUCCACAAAAUUUAAAAAUUCUGUCAGCAAAUGUUUUAACAGUUUGCUAAGCAGCAGCCUUCUCUCUGUUGGGUCCAUGGUUAACUGCUCCUCAACUGCUGUAAUAAAAAUCUGUAGCCACGUCCCAAACUGUUGCAAGUGUUGUGAUCAACAUACACAGAAUUUGCUAGAUCUCUUAUUAGCUUGGACUGUUCUAAGCCCUAUCUUUCCCCCCCACAGCCCAGGUCACAAGUAAAAAUAUAUAGCUUUAAAUAAAAAUACAGAUAAAAACAUGAGUAGGAAAAUAUUUAUAGCUCACAGGAAAAAAUAAAACUCUUUCCCUUUUCCCCUUGCUCUUAUUUUAAUUGUUUUAGAGUGGAAACAGGACUGCCUAACCAAUUUUGAGGAGGUGAGCACUAUUUUUAGGGUAUUCUGGUGCCUUCAUUGUUGUUAUGAUUGCACAAAGGUUUAAGAGCAGGAGUGGGGCCCUCUACUUACCACCUGGGCCCCACCUGUUUACACAAUGCUAUGGUAUAGUUACUUUGUUAAAAAAAAAAACCAAAAAACUGUGAUCCAUAAUUUGUUCUGGGGGUAAUUUUAUAGUCAUUUCUGCCUUGUAAUUCAAAUUCUGAAUUAUCUUCUGGGCUCGAAGUUAAAAAAAAAACCCAAAAACCAAAAAAAUCCAGGUGUGGCUCCAAACUCAGAAGGAUUUGGCUACCAGUAGAGUCAGAAGGAGCUGAGAGCCAAGACAUCUGCUUUCACAUAGGUAAAAUCCUGUCUAAGAGGGAGGCAUGAGGCUUAUAAGUGCUGAAGUAAUUGGUAGCUGGAGUCAAUGAAUUACUUACUCUUACAGAGAUGACAUGCUCAUGUAAGAGACAGAGCUUCUGGGUCCAGGCAGCUGUUGAUUUUGAAACUCCACACAAACUUACAGAAGCAAUGUGUUUUUCAGUUCUGUAGUUUUAAUUAUUCUUUCCUACUGGUGGGAGCAGGAUGAAAAUUCCUGAACUCAAUAUUCAGAGAGACAAACUAUUUCAGGUUUCACAACUUGACCCUGAAUUCAGAAAACAUCCUACUUUUUGAAAUGUGUGAUUUCUGGAAAACUCGAGUUCAGUUAAUCCUUCCCACCCCAUCACCUCCCCAUCCCCAUUUCUUCAGUGGCUGGGAUUCCUCUUUGUCUUUUUUGUUAGAGCUCUGAUUUUAGCUGGGGCUCUGGCAAUCCUUCCUCUCAGCAGCUUAUCUCUAAGGAGGUUACUCAUGGUCUCCUCCAGUUCCCUGGGCAUGGUGACAGAGUUUGGUCUGCUCACCUGAUGCUACUCAGUGUUCACUACCCAGAGCUAGCCAAUAGUUUGACUUUUACAUAGAAGAGAAUAAGUUAAAACAAACAAUAUAAUUGUAUUUUCAGCAGGCUGGAGGGUUCCUUAAAGAAACUAGGUCCCAUAUUUUAGUUACCAGGAACAACAGUUUUAAGUCUUUGAAGUCAUUUCAGUCUCUUUUGUUUUUAAAAUAGGAUAUGUUGGAUACAAUUCAGUGUAUUACAUGUUAACUUUUAACAUAAGCCCUUGAAAGCAUCUUUCUUAAUACAAACCUGAUACAUAGACUGUUAACUUUGACAAAAUAAGCAAGUGGAUCUGGUACACUAUACAAAAUUGUGGCUGGCUUCUUAUUUAUUGCAUAACGUACUUUUGACCUGCUAAGACCUGAUGGCUGCCCAGGGGAGGUGACUUUGUAUUCACUGACAAGUUGAAAAGAAACAUAUUUUUUUCAACAAAUUAGUGAUUCAGAUAAUAAUUUAGCAAGAUUUGCUUAUUUGCAGUGUCUGAGGGCUGAUCUUACAUAUUUUUUGUUGUUAUUUUGGUUCUAAAUGUCGCCUUGCCUUGCCUUGCCUUGCCUCUUACAUUUGUUAAAAUCAGUGCAUACAAAUCCUCACAAUUAAAGUUUAUUUUGAAAACGUUCACAAUAUUAUUUUUUUUUUAAAUGUGUACUGCUGAAUUAAGUUAUUUUAUACCACCAUAUGAUUAUAAUUGGUUAUUACAUCAGUGAUGACCAAUACCAAGUGUGUACUACAGGGAUGAAAGAGGUUCAUCAAUGUAUUUUUUACCAGGCAUUUUACCACAUAAAACUUUUGCCUUUAUAUUUCAUCUGAGAUUUUGAAUUGUUACAAUUAGGAGAUGCAUAAUGAUUCAGCAGUACACUUUACCAGUUCUGCCUAUUACUGUCCUACUCAUAUACACACAACUCAUGCUGUCUUACUCUGUUCUGGAAAAUAAAGAGAAUGUUAAUAAAUUUUAGAGAAUAACUUAAACUAAAUUUUGUUAGAAUUAUUUAUUGAUCUAGGAUUUUGAAACAUCUUUAUGGCAAAUAUCCAUAUUAUUUCUGUUACAGAUGAACAAAUUGCAUUCAUGGUUCAGUGUGAUCCAUUCAUUGGUUCAUGGAUCCCAAAGUCCUCAGGCAGUGUGACAAAUCCACAUAAUUUCCCUGAAUGCUAGGUUGUGCAUGUUUUGUAUCUGAUUAAGUUGAAAGAUGUGUUAAAGAAACAUGGAAAAAUCCUCAUGUAUAAAAAUCCUCAGACAGCUCCCAAUAGCUACAUAUCUCAGAAAUCUCUGGAGCAUUUUGUUAUUCAAAGCAAAAUUGGCAGUAAUUUACACUCAAUAAAUUGGUUCCAGAUCUGCCUGUUUCAGAUGCUAUCACAAGGACAUGAUUUUAUGUGAGAUUCCCUUACCUUUUGUCAAAGUGUGUUCUUUUUAAGAAAUUUGCCAUGGUAAAUGCAGAUGAUAAAGAGACUCCCUUGCCUUGCAGAGCAUGAAAGAAUGUAAUGGAUCAAUAGUUCAUAUACAAGCUAUGUUCUGAUCAAAUAAAAUCAUCCUUUUUUCCCAAAGUUUUUUGAAAAAGAAGGUUCUGGAUUCAUGCAAAAAUCAUGGCAUAUAUAAUUCAUAAUGCAUUAAUUAAGCCUCCAUUUGCUACAAACCACACAGUCUUUGCAGAGAGGUACAAUAAGUUUUGAUUUGUAACCAAAGAAAAGUGAAAAGCCCUGUAGCAGUCAGGCCUUGGCUCUGAAGAACUAGUCCUUUGUAUAGUUUUAGGUUCAUUGCUGUUUAACAGCUUUGCCAAAUAAUAGUUCGUUACAAAACUGAUUAAUUUGGUUCAGGAUUUUUUUUCUAAGGCAGCUGUGAAGAAAGACAGCUUAUCUGCCUGCAAGUUGUAAAUUCAUAGAAAAAAGUAGUUUAAAAAAUAACAACAGCAAUUAUAAUUAAGUAUGAAAAUGUGAAAUUAAGAAAAUGAAAAUUUAGACUGAAAGACAAAUAGUUUUCUCAUGGUAACAUCACUUAGACUUGAAACUUUCAAACAAAAAUAUUUGAAACAUUGAAACAAAUAAAAGGAAAAAAAAUCACUGUCAAGCACUGAGAAAAGGAUAAUUUAAAUAAUGUAAUAAUUCUUUUAUGUUUUGAACUUACCAGCUCUGUGAUUAUGAAUGGCUGUAAUUUUAGGAGAAGAAGGAAAAUGUGCUUUGUUCAGAUGAUAGUGGUACUUUGUUGGUUGCCUGAAUGGGUCUGAGAGAGAAAUCCUGUUGUGAAGUUGCUCAUAUCUCUAUACAUUCUAUUAUUUGAAGGAAAAACUACUUUCAGUGGACAUGCAUUGAAGAGGUUCAUAGACACCCAUUGCUUGACUCCAGUUUAAGUUUCAGUUGCAGGAUGAGGUCAACAACAUCAUGUACCUCUGAUACAAGCGUACUUUGUGACUUGAAAUCAAUGAGUAUUGGAAGCAGAAAACAUCUCGCCUGUUCUUAUCUCUUUCUAUAAAGGAAAGCAUCAGAUAGCUGAUAAAGGUAGUGUUUUUACUAUUUCUGUCAGUUUGGUGCCACUUAAGAAAAUUCUGGUGUUCCUAUUGCUUUGUGAGUUUAAUUGACUGUAAUACCUCCAUCUUUCACCUUUACUACUUGCCUUGUUUUUUUGUUUUUUGUUUUUUUUAAUUUCAGGAAAACUUGAGAAUAUCUAAGAUUCCACUGUAUUCUUGGAUCACAGUAUUUAUGUACCCUGUUUCCUUAAUCUAGGGAAAAAUAAAUGAAAUUUGCACUUUUUUUUGUAGUUACUGGCAAAGAUAUGUUUGUAGAAGCUUUUUCUCUUCUUCUAUCAAAACAUGUUGCUAAGACUUACUGCUAGAGUAUAAUAUUAUUGCUCUUUUUUUCACUUGAAAAAUAUUUAUUUGUAGGUAUUUGUCCUUUUGUUCAUAUUACAGCACUGCAGCUAGACCUUUAAGUGUUGACAUGAUGCUUUAUGGUGCUCCUUAGAAGUACAUCAAUUCUAUUAGACAAAUCAUCGUGUAAGACCCCUUCAUCUGAAAGAAAACUGAUCCUAUAUGAUUCUUUAUAUGUUUACAUAGGCUAUCCAUAGCUGUCUGAAGAUAUCAGGUGGAGAAACAGUCCAAAUAAAAAAUCCAGGCUUUCUUUAAACAAGGUAGUGAGUUGGCAAGGCUCUGGUAGUGGGAAGAUACAGGAAUGACUCCUGUGAGAAGCUGCUAGAGGUUUUCUCCAUGUCAAAUAGAGCCAACGCCAGCCAGAUCAAAUAUGAACCCAUCACUGUUCAAGGCCAAAGCCCAUCAGCAAACGUGGGAGCACUUUUGGGGGAGUGUAUUUAAGACAGGGAUAGAAGUUAUUCCUUUGGAGCAUUUGCAGCCAGUGAGAGGAGUGAGAAUAUGUGAAGGGAACAGCUCUGCGGACACCAAGGUCAGUGCAGAAGGAGGGGCAGGAGGU